AGAGAGAAGGAGAGAGAGAAGGAGAGAGAGAAGGAGAAGGAGGGUGACAGAAGGUGGCUGUAUCCAUGGUUGCAUGGCUCGAAUGAUUUGGGUCAGUGCAUGGAUUCAGAUGAUCUGAGGUAAGAGUCACACACUGAAUAUGAUCAUAGUUAACUGUAAGUGGAGUAAGUGGAGUAUUGUCCAGUAUUAUUGUGUGCAGUGGUGUGUACAAUUCAUUGGUAUUUUUAAACUGGCGUGUAAAUAAUUUUAACAGGAUAACACCUGUUAAAUGGGGUCCUCAAAUAUCGCAUUAUAACAUUGCCUUAUGAACUGAAAUCGUAUGAUAUAUGUGUGUGUGUGUGUGUGUGUGUGUGUGUGUGUGUGUGUGUGUGUGUGUGUGUGGAAGCCUGAGGUUUACACAUCUGCUAUUCUCGACUGAGAUACUAUACGCACAAUGCCCUAAGUGUUUUUAUGCGGGAUGUACUGUUCCAACGCUUGUGGUAAUUAAUGCUCACUCUUAGUGCUAGCGUAACUUUGGAAACCCGUAACUACACUAGCGUAAACAAACACAGUGAAGACAGCACUGCCUGGACAAACACAAGCUCCGUGCUAAAGGAACGUCAGGGUUUCAGCAGUAAACCUGUCUCUAAUGACUUUUCGGUUUGAAUCAGGAGCUCCGUGUUGCUUAUCGUGCAGCAGAUGAGUGAAUAAUCAAGCGCACACGGUGAACUGCUGUGUAACUGAUUGUGAUGGAUUUCACACACACACACACACACACUCACACACACACACUCCACUCCACUGGAUCUUACUCUCCACUAGAUUCUGUGCACGAACUGCACCAAAUUUGGUUUUGAUCUCCCCCUGUGUCGCCGCCUCUCACAGGCGGAGCGAGCGCUUAUCUCUGAAUUAUUGAACGAGUCUCCGUCUCAGUGUGUUUCAGAAGCACGGUGUAUUCGGCAUUAAGCAGCCCCCCUGUCAGAAACCUAUUUAAUAAUACACAGAGGAGCACAAACACACUUUCAAAUUGAGAGCGAUUGCACGGCGUCCCUGAAGAUGAUCGUUCGUUCAUCCCUCCGUCUCGCCCCUCUGUCUGUCUGAGUGAAGAAUGAGCCGGGAUUCACAAAGUGAACGCUUCAAAUCACAUUCCUGUCAGAGCAAACAGGAGGAGUGGAGAGACACUGUGCAUGAAGAGUCAGUACAAACACACACACACACACACACACUGACAUACACAUACUCACACUAUACGCACACACACAAAUGGGAUUUUAGAGUGUAUGCAAGUUCAAAUCCCAGAACUGCCAAGCACGUCAGUAAUUAAGUCAGUGAGUAAGUCAGUAAAUUAGUAAAUCAGUAAUUAAGUCAGUGAGUAAGUCAGUAAAUUAGUAAAUCAGUAAUUAAGUCAGUGAGUAAGUCAGUAAAUUAGUAAGUCAGUAAUUAGGUCAGUAAUUAAGUCAGUAGUUAAGUCAGUAGGUAAGUCAGUGAGUAAGUCAGUAAAUUAGUAAGUCAGUAAUAAAGUCAGUAAGUCAGUAAUCAAGUCAGUGAGUAAUUCAGUAAAUUAGUCAGUAAUUAAGUCAGUAAGUCAGUAAAUUAGUUAGUCAGUAAUUAAGUCAGUAAGAAGGUCAGUGGAGUAAGUCAGUAAAUUAGUAAGUCGGUAAUUAAGUCAGUAAGAAGGUCAGAGAGUAAGUCGGUAAAUUAGUAAGUCAGUAAUUAGGUCAGUAAUUAAGUCAGUAGUUAAGUCAGUAGUUAAGUCAGUAAUUAAGUCAGUAGGUAAGUCAGUGAGUAAGUCAGUAAAUUAGUAAGUCAGUAAUAAAGUCAGUAAGUGAGUCAGUAAUCAAGUCAGUGAGUAAGUCAGUAAAUUAGUUAGUCAGUAAUUAAGUCAGUGAGUAAGUCAGUAAAUUAGUAAGUCGGUAAUUAAGUCAGUAAUCAAGUCAGUAAGUAAGUCAGUAAUCAAGUCAGUGAGUAAGUCAGUAAUUUAGUUAGUCAGUAAUUAAGUCAGUAAGUUAGUAAGUCAGUAUUUAAUUCCGUAAGUGAGUCAGUAAGUUAUUAAAGAGUAAGGCAGCACAUGAGUCAUUAAUUCAUUAAGUGAGUAAGUUGCUAAGUUAGUGAGUUAUUAAGUCUGUAAAUUAUUAAGUCAGUAAUUAAUUCAGUGAGUCAUUACAUUAUUAAAUAAGUGAGACGGUUAGUAAGUUGGUAAGUCAGGAAGUAAGUGAGUAAUUCAGUCAGUAAGUGAGUCAGUUAGCUAUUAAGUCAGUGAUUAUGUCGGUAAGUCAGUAAUUUAGUAAAUCAGUAAAUUAGUACAUCAGUGAGUAAGUCAGGAAGUAAGUGAGUAAGUGCUAAGUUAGUAAGUCAGUAUGUUAAUAAGUAACGUUAAUAAGUAUGUUCUUAAUGAGUUAGUUAACGUUAAUGAGUAAGUCAGUAAGUGAGUAAGUACUAAGUUAGUAAGUCAGUAAGUUAAGUCAGUUAUUAAAUGAGUCAGUAAGUGAGUAAGUGAGUGAGUCAGUCAGUCAUUAAAGCAGUCAGCUUUAGUAAGCUGCCACUGUAGUGCCCUUGAGCAAUGCCCUAAACCCUCCUCUGUUCAGCUCAGGUAUAACUUUGGAGAACAAGCGUCUUCCGAAUGCAUAAACAUAAAAGUUUUCAGUGACAGCUGCUGAUUUAAAGGCUGUGAUUUUAAUACUAUGCAUAGUACAGUAAAAUAGUGCAGUAAAGUAGUACAGCAAAAAGUACAGUAAAAUAGUACAGUUAAAUAGUACAGUAAAGUAGUACAAUAAAAUAGUACAGUAAAAUAGUACAGUAAAUAGUACAGUAAAGUAGUACAGUAAAUAGUACAGUAAAAUAGUACACUUAAAUAGUACAGUAAAGUAGUACAGUAAAAUAGUACAGUAAAAUAGUACACUUAAAUAGUACAGUAAAGUAGUACAGUAAAUAGUACAAUAAAAUAGUACAGUUAAAUAGUACAAUAAAUAGUACAGUAAAAUAGUACAGUAAAAAAGUACAGUAAAAUAGUACACUUAAAUAGUACAGUAAAGUAGUACAGUAAAAUAGUACAAUAAAAUAGUACAGUUAAAUAGUACAGUAAAAUAGUUACAAUAAAAUAGUACAGUAAAAUAGUACAAUAAAGUAGUACAGUAAAAUAGUACAGUUAAAUUGUACAGUAAAAAGUACAGUAAAACAGUACAGUUAAAUAGUACAGUAAAGUAGUACAAUUAAACAGAACAGUAAAGUAGUACAGUAAUACUACAGUAAAGUAAUAUGGUAAAAUAAUUCAGUAAAAUAGUACAGUAAGUAGUACAGUAAAGUAGUACAGUAAAAUAGUACAGUAAAGUAGUACAGUAAAAUAGUAUGGUAAAAUAGUGCAUAAAAUAGUACAGUAAAGUAAUACAGUAAAGAAGUACGGUAAAGAAGUACAGGGGCGGAAAAGGGGGUGAGAGGGAAAACAUCUUAUUUUUAUCAGGAAGACAUCGCUCUCUCUCUCUCUCUCUCUCUCUCUUCUCCUCUCU
ensembl:lncRNA